GGCCUUGUGGCCCAAUGGAUAAGGCGCCUGACUACGGAUCAGGAGAUUCCAGGUUCGAGUCCUGUGCAGGGUCU
rnacentral:tRNA from 1 species